UACGUAGGGUGCAGGCGUUAAUCGGAAUUACUGGGCGUAAAGCGUGCGCAGGCGGUUUGCUAAGACAGGUGUGAAAUCCCCGGGCUUAACCUGGGAACUGCGCUUGUAACUGGCAAGCUUGAGUGUGGCAGAGGGGGGUGGAAUUCCGACGUGUAGCAGUGAAAUGCGUAGAGAUGUGGAGGAAUACCGAUGGCGAAGGCAACCUCCGUGGGCCAACACUGAACGCUCCAUGCACGAAAGCGUGGGGAGCAAAACAG
rnacentral:rRNA from 1 species